ACAGCCCAGUCAGGACGGUUAAAAAAAUCAUGGCCGUGGGUUUUGGUCUAUUUACGUCGCAUCAGCGCCUGGAAGGUCGUUCUUUUGAUUAGCAGAGCUAUGGCUGAGGCGGCGACGGCGUGGAGCAGGGGGACGGUCCCUCGCGUGCUUGAGAUCGUGAGCACGAGGCUCCCCCAGCGAGACGUCUGCGCGCUCUUACUUGUCAGCCCCUGGUGCUACCGUUCCCUCCUCUCUCACCCUAUUCUCUGGCAGGUCCUUGAUCUUCAUGAGAUGAGUCAAGCAGGAGAGCGACUGAUUUCUGCACUUUCACUGGCCAGAUAUAGACAAAUUAAAAAGAUAAACCUUGAAUUUGCACGGGAUGUUGAAGAUGAACAUCUUAUUCUCCUUAGAAGCAAGGGAAUAGAGUCACUUCAAGGCUUGGAGUCUCUAAAUCUGAAUGGCUGUCAGAAGAUUUCAGAUAGAGGAAUUGAAGCUAUAACGAAUGUUUGUCCAAAUCUGAGGGCUUUAUCUAUCUAUUGGAAUGUUAGGAUAACUGACUUGAGCAUAAAGCACAUUGCGAAGAACUGUAAACAUAUAAUUGAUUUGAACUUGAGUGGUUGUAAGAAUGUUACAGAUCAAAGUUUGCGUCUUAUAGCUGAAAGUUACCAAGACUUGGAGGAAUUGAACAUUACGAGGUGCAUCAAAUUAACAGAUGGUGGAUUACAACAGAUACUUCUAAAAUGUUCUUUGCUCCAAAGUUUGAAUCUAUAUGCCCUUUCCAGUUUUACUGAUAAAGCUUAUGAAAGGAUAGCAUAUUUAUCACAUCUUAGAUUCUUGGAUCUUUGUGGUGCCCAGAAUCUUUCUGAUCAAGGCCUUUCAUGUAUAGCAAGGUGCAAAGAUCUGGUUUCUUUGAACUUGACAUGGUGUGUACGUGUUACUGACAUGGGAGUAAUGGCAAUUGCUCAAGGUUGCAGGUCUCUUGAAUUUCUCAGUUUGUUUGGAAUAGUUGGGGUAACUGAUACAAGUCUGCAGGCUCUGUCCGAGUUUUGCUCAAAUACCCUUACAACCCUCGAUGUAAAUGGAUGCAUUGGCAUUAAGAGAAGGAGCCGCGGUGACUUGCUCCAAUUAUUUCCGCACUUGAAGUGUUUCAAAGUGCACAGUUAACAUUGCGCUGGAACUCAGCACCCGAUAUUGUCCUGUUCAUGAUGAGCAUCUUUUUGUAGUUUCCAUCAGCUGACGUUGAUGCGAUACUGGAUAGCAAUUAGUAGCAGUAUCAUCAAGGUGUAAAUUGAUUUUCUCCAGCUGGUGUGGACUCAGAUCAAGCACCUGUCAAGACUAUUUCAUAAUCUUCGCCAUGCAUAAUGCUAGUAUGUGCUGGAUUGCUAUUCACUUAUCGACAUCGCUUGUAUCCAGAAUUAUUGGGGGCUGCCAAGUAGAUUUUGUCAUAUAGAUCUGAACUCACGGAGUUAUCGCGUUGUUAUGUUGCGGGAGUAGGAUAAUAAUGUUCUGUAAACAUAACUUUCUUGAUGUCAUUUAUUAUGUCAACAUCAAGAUGGUAUCACCUUAUAAUGAUGGCAUAAUAUUUAUGUGAGAAUAGGAUUUCCUUGCAUCAUUCACAUUAUGGUGUGAUGCUGCCAA